AGUGAACGCUGGCGGUAGGCCUAACACAUGCAAGUCGAACGGCAGCACAGUAAUAUCUUGCUCUUACGUGUUGCGAGUGGCGUACGUGUGAGUAAUACAUCGGAAUCUACUUUUUCUUGUGUUUUAACGUAGGUAAACUUACUCUAAUACCUCAUACUACCUACUUUUUAAUUCAUUAGUUCUUCUGACCUUUCUCUUUUGUAUUAGCCGAUGUCGGAUUAGCUAGUUGGCUGGGUAAAGGCCCACCAAGGCGACGAUCCGUAGCUGGUCUGAGAGGAGGAUGAGACAAACUGGAACUGAGACACGGUACAGACUCCGACGGGAGGAAGCAGAGGGGAAUAUGGGACAAGGGGCGAAAGCAUGAUCCAGAAAUACCGCGUGGGUGAAGAAGGAGUUCGGGUUGGAAAGAACUUUUGUUGGGAAAGAAAAGAAGCAGGUUAAAACCAAGAUGUAAUGACGGUAACAAAAGAAUAAGCACCGGCUAACUUCGUG
rnacentral:rRNA from 1 species